AUUGAACGCUGGCGGCAUGCCUUACACAUGCAAGUCGAACGGUAACAGGUCUUCGGAUGCUGACGAGUGGCGAACGGGUGAGUAAUACAUCGGAACGUGCCUAGUAGUGGGGGAUAACUACUCGAAAGAGUGGCUAAUACCGCAUGAGAUCUACGGAUGAAAGCAGGGGAUCGCAAGACCUUGUGCUACUAGAGCGGCCGAUGGCAGAUUAGGUAGUUGGUGGGAUAAAAGCUUGCCAAGCCGACGAUCUGUAGCUGGUCUGAGAGGACGAUCAGCCACACUGGGACUGAGAUACGGCCCAGACUCCUACGGGAGGCAGCAGUGGGGAAUUUUGGACAAUGGGCGAAAGCCUGAUCCAGCAGUGCCGCGUGCAGGAUGAAGGCCUUCGGGUUGUAAACUGCUUUUGUACGGAACGAAAAGCCCCGGGUUAAUACCCUGGGGUCAUGACGGUACCGUAAGAAUAAGCACCGGCUAACUACGUGCCAGCCGCCGCCGUAA
rnacentral:rRNA from 1 species